AUUCAUCUGACGAGUCCCAAAAUGGACGAAACGCGCGUCCUGGAU
rfam:Schistosoma rodhaini strain Burundi genome assembly, scaffold: SROB_scaffold0000822